rnacentral:rRNA from 1 species
CCUACGGGAGGCAGCAGUGAGGAAUAUUGGUCAAUGGGCGCGAGCCUGAACCAGCCAAGCCGCGUGAAGGAUGACGGCCCUACGGGUUGUAAACUUCUUUUAUAAGCGAGAAAUAUGAUGGUAACUUAUGCAUAAGGAUCGGCUAACAACGUGCCAGCAGCCGCGGUCAUACGUAGGAUCCGAGCAUUAUCCGGAGUGACUGUGGGUAAAGAGUUUGGUAGGUGGGAUAGUAAGUAGCUAGUGUAAUCUGGUGGCGCAACCAUUCAGACUAUUAGCUAAACUGUUAAGCGCGAGACCGUUAGAGGUAAGUGGAAUGUCUGGUGUAGGAGUGAAAUGCAUAGAUAUUAGAAGGAACACCGAUAGCGAAGGCAGGUUGCUGGGACGGUUCUGACGCUGAGGCACGAAAGCGUAGGGAGCAAACGGGAUUAGAUACCCCAGUAGUC